rnacentral:lncRNA from 1 species
CUCCUCCCUCAUUGACCUAAGAGUUCAGAACUGACACUAUCCCUGCCCCUGGACCUUCACCUCCAGCCUCUUCCUCCUUUGAAAUUCAAGAGGCUGGACCCACUCCUCACUCAAACCCAGAAGUUCUGAUCCCCAGCCAUGCCCCUUCAGGAUCCUGAGCACUGCCUUAUUCUGGAUUUGGCAGUGGAGUGCUGCCAGACACAGUCAGGAUCCGGACUCAGAACCUUGGUUUGCCAUAAAGAAGCAGGAUGUGAUAGAAAAAGUAUUUAAUGGUGGAACGUUGAGAUUGUCCUGCAGACAAGGGUGGAAGACUCUGGCUGAACAGUGUUGGGAGGCAAUUCUCCAUGCUUCUGUCACGUAUCUGUGUGUCUUCUGAGCAAAGACAGCAACACCUUUUUUUUUUCUGGAUUGUCUUUUCAAGAAUGUUUGUGUAGCAGGCAUCCUUGCAAGAUGCUAUCUGUCUCAGAUCCAGGAUUGCGUACUGUCCUAGAUAAUAAAGAUAAUGUCUCUUACAACAGAUUUGUUUACUGUCAAGAGCAAUAAAUACAAUAUGUUCCUCCAGAGUAGGUCUGUUUUCAAUCCAAGAUCAUAAAGAUAAUAUCUUCAUCAGGGACAAAGGCUGAGCAGUUUGCAAGUUGUCCCAGUAAAAGAUUGAGGAUUCCUCAUCUCAGGUUUCUCACCGGUGGCACAAACCCUGUGUGCACAGCAUCCACCUGGACUGCUCUGGUCACCGCACAAGGUUUUGGGGGGCAAGGUGAACUAAUGUGAACAUGAACCUCAUGCUGUCUGCUGAGCUGCUGAGCUGUGAGCAGUAAAAUCCUUUGUCUCUGACUCGGGAGUCUCAUGGACUCUGCCAGCAUUCACAGAACUCUGGCAGGUUAGCUUCUUUGUUUGCAGGUUGGUAAAAUGUCAACCCCUUCAGAGUUACUGACACUGAGACUGCACUGGCCAGCUGGGAAUGGAGAUAGGAGGGGACCCAGCUGGAUGCAGUGGGCAGUGGGUGUCAUAGAGGCAAAAGGGUACAGAAUACAAUGGGAUCCUAGUAUCAUGGUGGAGGUCAGAAAGAGCCCUAAAAGAGAGGAUCAAGGUAGGAGGUUAGUGAAGGUCCACCUCCACCCUCUCCAGGACAGGGACAUCAGGUCACAGUUAAUUUCUCUGCAGUUGGUGAGUGGUCGUGGUCUCUGGAGUCUCCAGCAUCCAGAGCGUCCCUGAUCUAGUGGUCCCCCCUUUCUGAGCCACAGCUGCUUUCUCCGUCAAAUGAGGCCAGUAAUACCCACCCCAGAAGUGAUGCUGUGAGGAUUAGAUGAGCAUCUGUAAGUGCUGAAGAUAAUGCCUGACACAUCCCAACCAUUCAGCAGUGCAAGCAUACACUUACACGGCACUCCUUACAGCCAGGCAUGUGCUGGUGCCUCAUGCAUGUGACCACAUUUGAUCCUCACAAUGACCCUGUGAGGGAGACUGUGCAACAGAGGACUGACCUCGCCCAAAGACCUCAGGCCUUUGCCGUCAGAGCCUGAGAUGUCAUCUCUUAUUUUUUUUUUCCCCUUUCUUUCUUUUUCUUUUCCACGGAGAUUGCAGUGAGCCGAAAUUGUGCCACUGCACUGCUGCCUGGUGAAACAGCAAGAUUCCGUCUCAAAAAAAAAAAAAAA